GGGAUCUUGAGAGCGGCGUACGGGUGCGGAUCACGUGUGCAACCUGCCUUUAUCAGAGGGAUAGCCUUUCGAAAGGAAGAUUAAUACCUCAUAAUAUAAUGAAUGGCAUCAUUUAUUAUUGAAAACUCCGGUGGAUAGAGAUGGGCACGCGCAAGAUUAGAUAGUUGGUGAGGUAACGGCUCACCAAGUCGAUGAUCUUUAGGGGGCCUGAGAGGGUGAUCCCCCACACUGGUACUGAGACACGGACCAGACUCCUACGGGAGGCAGCAGUGAGGAAUAUUGGACAAUGGGUUAGCGCCUGAUCCAGCCAUCCCGCGUGAAGGACGACGGCCCUAUGGGUUGUAAACUUCUUUUGUACAGGGAUAAACCUACCCUCGUGAGGGUAGCUGAAGGUACUGUACGAAUAAGCACCGGCUAACUCCGUGCCAGCAGCCGCGGUAAUACGGAGGGUGCAAGCGUUAUCCGGAUUUAUUGGGUUUAAAGGGUCCGUAGGCGGAUGUGUAAGUCAGUGGUGAAAUCUCACAGCUUAACUGUGAAACUGCCAUUGAUACUGCAUGUCUUGAGUAAGGUAGAAGUGGCUGGAAUAAGUAGUGUAGCGGUGAAAUGCAUAGAUAUUACUUAGAACACCAAUUGCGAAGGCAGGUCACUAUGUCUUAACUGACGCUGAUGGACGAAAGCGUGGGGAGCGAACAGGAUUAGAUACCCUGGUAGUCCACGCCGUACACGAUGCUAACUCGUUUUUGGGCUUUCGGGUUCAGAGACUAAGCGAAAGUGAUAAGUUAGCCACCUGGGGAGUACGUUCGCAAGAAUGAAACUCAAAGGAAUUGACGGGGGCCCGCACAAGCGGUGG
rnacentral:rRNA from 1 species